rnacentral:rRNA from 1 species
GUGUCAGCAGCCGCGGUAAUACGUAGGUGGCAAGCGUUAUCCGGAAUUAUUGGGCGUAAAGCGCGCGCAGGUGGUUUCUUAAGUCUGAUGUGAAAGCCCACGGCUCAACCGUGGAGGGUCAUUGGAAACUGGGAGACUUGAGUGCAGAAGAGGAAAGUGGAAUUCCAUGUGUAGCGGUGAAAUGCGUAGAGAUAUGGAGGAACACCAGUGGCGAAGGCGACUUUCUGGUCUGUAACUGACACUGAGGCGCGAAAGCGUGGGGAGCAAACAGGAUUAGAAACCCCCGUAGUCC